GAUGAACGCUGGCGGCGUGCCUAAUACAUGCAAGUCGAGCGAACGGACGAGAAGCUUGCUUCUCUGAUGUUAGCGGCGGACGGGUGAGUAACACGUGGAUAACCUACCUAUAAGACUGGGAUAACUACGGGAAACCGGAGCUAAUACCGGAUGAUAUUUUGAACCGCAUGGUUCAAAAGUGAAAGACGGUCUUGCUGUCACUUAUAGAUGGAUCCGCGCUGCAUUAGCUAGUUGGUAAGGUAACGGCUUACCAAGGCAACGAUGCAUAGCCGACCUGAGAGGGUGAUCGGCCACACUGGAACUGAGACACGGUCCAGACUCCUACGGGAGGCAGCAGUAGGGAAUCUUCCGCAAUGGGCGAAGGCCUGACGGAGCAACGCCGCGUGAGUGAUGAAGGUCUUCGGAUCGUAAAACUCUGUUAUUAGGGAAGAACAUAUGUGUAAGUAACUGUGCCCGUCUUGACGGUACCUAAUCAGAAAGCCACGGCUAACUACGUG
rnacentral:rRNA from 1 species